AUUAAUGAAUCUUGAGAGGGGUUGUAGCUGGCCUUUUCAUGUGAGAAGGCACCCUGUGCACGCCCUGAUCAUUAUCCAUUUCACACCUGUGCACGCACUGUAGGUUUGGCUUUCAAGGUUUGGGGGUCUGUAUUGACUUACGCUUUGUUGGUCUUCCUAUGUUCUAUUUACAAACCAAUCAAGUUUAAAAGAAUGUCUAUUGCGUGUGACGCAUCAUAUACAACUUUCAGCAACGGAUCUCUUGGCUCUCGCAUCGAUGAAGAACGCAGCGAAAUGCGAUAAGUAAUGUGAAUUGCAGAAUUCAGUGAAUCAUCGAAUCUUUGAACGCACCUUGCGCUCCUUGGUAUUCCGAGGAGCAUGCCUGUUUGAGUGUCAUGACAUUCUCAACCCUAAUUUGCUUCUGUAAAGUAGGGCUUGGACUUGGAGGUUUAUUGCUGGAUAACAUGCUGUUGUUCAGCUCCUCUUAAAUGCAUUAGCUUGGGCCCUUGUGGAUCAGCUUCGGUGUGAUAAAUGUCUGUGCCGUUCUGUGAAGCAUGACUAUGGGUUUUUGGGCUUCUAAACUGUCCUGUUACUGGGACGAUACAUUUUUUGAUCUUUGACCUCAAAUCAGGCAGGGUUACCCG
rnacentral:rRNA from 1 species